rnacentral:rRNA from 1 species
GGGCGUAAAGAGCUCGUAGGUGGUUUGUCGCGUUGUUCGUGAAAUCUCACGGCUUAACUGUGAGCGUGCGGGCGAUACGGGCAGACUUGAGUACUGCAGGGGAGACUGGAAUUCCUGGUGUAGCGGUGGAAUGCGCAGAUAUCAGGAGGAACACCGGUGGCGAAGGCGGGUCUCUGGGCAGUAACUGACGCUGAGGAGCGAAAGCGUGGGGAGCGAACAGGAUUAGAUACCCUGGUAGUCCACGCCGUAAACGGUGGGUACUAGGUGUGGGUUUCCUUCCUUGGGAUCCGUGCCGUAGCUAACGCAUUAAGUACCCCGCCUGGGGAGUACGGCCGCAAGGCUAAAACUCAAAGAAAUUGACGGGGGCCCGCACAAGCGGCGGAGCAUGUGGAUUAAUUCGAUGCAACGCGAAGAACCCUACCUGGGUUUGACAUGCACAGGACGCCGGCAGAGAUGUCGGUUCCCUUGUGGCCCGUGUGCAGGUGGUGCAUGGCUGUCGUCAGCUCGCGUCGUGAGAUGUUGGGCUAAGUCCCGCUACGAGCGCAACCCUUGUCUCAUGUUGCCAGCGGGUAAUGCUGGGGACUCGUGAGAGACUGCCGGGGUCAACUCGGAGGAAGGUGGGGAUGACGUCAAGUCAUCAUGCCCCUUAUGUCCAGGGCUUCACACAUGCUACAAUGGCCGGUACAAAGGGCUGCGAUGCCGCGAGGUUAAGCGAAUCCUUUUAAAGCCGGUCUCAGUUCGGAUCGGGGUCUGCAACUCGACCCCGUGAAGUCGGAGUCGCUAGUAAUCGCAG